rnacentral:rRNA from 1 species
CUAGCCCUAAACGAUGUUUACUUGACGUCGGCGGCUUAAUCGCCAUCGGUGUCGUAGCUAACGCGAUAAGUAAACCGCCUGGGGACUACGGCCGCAAGGUUAAAACUCAAAGGAAUUGACGGGUCCCCGCACAAGCAGCGGAGCGUGUGGUUUAAUUCGUUGCUACACGAAGAACCUUACCUGGGUUUGACAUAGCAGUGGUAGGGAAACGAAAGUGGACCGACCCUUCGGGGAGCUGUUACAGGUGU